UACGUAGGGUGCAAGCGUUAAUCGGAAUUACUGGGCGUAAAGCGUGCGCAGGCGGUUAUGUAAGACAGUUGUGAAAUCCCCGGGCUUAACCUGGGAACUGCAUUUGUGACUGCAAGGCUAGAGUACGGUAGAGGGGGAUGGAAUUCCGCGUGUAGCAGUGAAAUGCGUAGAUAUGCGGAGGAACACCGAUGGCGAAGGCAAUCCCCUGGACCUGUACUGACGCUCAUGCACGAAAGCGUGGGGAGCAAACAGG
rnacentral:rRNA from 1 species